UUGUUAGAUGAUGUUAUCGAUGCUGUAUAAGUUGAAACCUUUUGAUGAUGAGAGGUACAUGAACAAACCUACACUAAACAAUACUACAUUCCAGCUUGAAACGAAAUGAGUGGAGUUGAACGACGCCUGUUUAUCGAAACUACAUCAAUCAACUUUUCAACUAUGCAGGUGAUCGAUCUGGAGAGAUGAAAACAGUCUUAUGAUCUUCACACAGUCUCAGCUUUUUGGCAUUUACUAAUAUCUGAUGAACGGAUUUCAAAAUGUACAAGGCAUCAUAUCAAAGAUUGCAUAU